rnacentral:rRNA from 1 species
GAGUUUGAUCCUGGCUCAGAUUGAACGCUGGCGGCAGGCCUAACACAUGCAAGUCGAGCGGUAGAGAGAAGCUUGCUUCUCUUGAGAGCGGCGGACGGGUGAGUAAUGCCUAGGAAUCUGCCUGGUAGUGGGGGAUAACGCUCGGAAACGGACGCUAAUACCGCAUACGUCCUACGGGAGAAAGCAGGGGACCUUCGGGCCUUGCGCUAUCAGAUGAGCCUAGGUCGGAUUAGCUAGUUGGUGAGGUAAUGGCUCACCAAGGCGACGAUCCGUAACUGGUCUGAGAGGAUGAUCAGUCACACUGGAACUGAGACACGGUCCAGACUCCUACGGGAGGCAGCAGUGGGGAAUAUUGGACAAUGGGCGAAAGCCUGAUCCAGCCAUGCCGCGUGUGUGAAGAAGGUCUUCGGAUUGUAAAGCACUUUAAGUUGGGAGGAAGGGCAGUAAAUUAAUACUUUGCUGUUUUGACGUUACCGACAGAAUAAGCACCGGCUAACUCUGUGCCAGCACG